rnacentral:rRNA from 1 species
AGGGAAUAUUGGGCAAUGGGCGAGAGCCUGACCCAGCCAUGCCGCGUGCAGGAAGAAGGCUUUCUGAGUCGUAAACUGCUUUUGACAGGGAAGAAUAAGGUGUACGUGUACACUGAUGACGGUACCUGCAGAAUAAGCACCGGCUAACUCCGUGCCAGCAGCCGCGGUAAUACGGAGGGUGCGAGCGUUGUCCGGAUUUACUGGGUUUAAAGGGUGCGUAGGCGGCCGUUUAAGUCCGGGGUGAAAGCCCGCUGCUCAACAGCGGAACUGCCCUGGAUACUGGAUGGCUUGAGUACAGACGAGGUUGGCGGAAUGGACUGAGUAGCGGUGAAAUGCAUAGAUACAGUCCAGAACCCCGAUUGCGAAGGCAGCUGACUAGGCUGUUACUGACGCUGAGGCACGAAAGCGUGGGGAGCGAAC